AGAGUUCCCGCCUCUGCAGUAGAGGAAGACACUCCAGAAGGAGUUGAGAAUGGGUGCUGAGUGCCUCUUCAGGAUGUCUGUCACACCUCAGGAAACCUGCCAGGAAUACCAAAGGGAGUGAAAAAUCCAAGGAAUACUUGUCAUUGAAAUUAGGGCCCACCUGGAUAAUCCAUGAUGAUCUCAUCUCAAGAUCCUUAACUUAAUGACAUCUGCAGAGACUGGUUUAUCAAAUAAGGGACUGUGGCUAUAUCGCUGACCUCAAGAAAACCUGCGGACAAAAUCUGCUAAAGAAGUAUCAGCAUCUAUUUCAAAAGUUAGCCAUUAUUUUAAGAAGACUGUGCUGGAAGACGGGUAUUUAACACAAACAGAUGCAAAAGAUACGGGGUUUCACCGUGUUGACCAGACUGAUUUUGAACUUCUGGGCUCAAUCAGUCCACCUGCCUCGGCCUCCCAAAGUGCUGAGAUUAUAGGUGUGAGCCCCUGCGCCUGGCCAGGGAUGCCGUUCUUCACUCUCCAAUUGAGCAGCCAUUAUAUAUCAGGCACUAUAGGAGUUCCUGGAGGAUACUGGUCUGAAGUUAGCAUGAUCUUGACUCAAGAAACUUAUAGUCCUGAUAAGAACUUCCACCAGAAUUCCAGAUAAGGCAGCACAGGCCUUGCUGUUUGCCCAUGCCCAUGCGGUCAGCUCUCUUGGGUACCGUGGCAUGCAGAUGCAGACACUCACCCA
rnacentral:lncRNA from 1 species